CUUCGUGAUUGUUGCGAACGAAUUCAAAGUAUGCAGACCCAGUGCCGAUGCGAGGGUCUGAGGAUGGCCAUUGAUCAGCAGAAGAGCAAGGGACAAAUUCUGGGACAGGACUCUCGCCAGGCUUACAACAUCGCUCAGGACUUGCCAUACACGUGCGGUGUCUCACCACAGAAAUGUAGGUUCGGAACACGAUGGGGGUUCUGAAGGGAAGGUGGAGAAAGCCAUCUACAUGCUUGCACAUGAUAUGGGCAGCAGUUAAUAAAGACAUCA
rnacentral:lncRNA from 1 species